rnacentral:rRNA from 1 species
GACGAACGCUGGCGGCGUGCUUAACACAUGCAAGUCGAACGGAAAGGCCCUGCUUUUGUGGGGUGCUCGAGUGGCGAACGGGUGAGUAACACGUGAGUAACCUGCCCUUGACUUUGGGAUAACUUCAGGAAACUGGGGCUAAUACCGGAUAGGAGCUCCUGCUGCAUGGUGGGGGUUGGAAAGUUUCGGCGGUUGGGGCUGGACUCGCGGCUUAUCAGCUUGUUGGUGGGGUAGUGGCUUACCAAGGCUUUGACGGGUAGCCGGCCUGAGAGGGUGACCGGCCACAUUGGGCCUGCGAUACGCACCAGACUCCUACGGGAGGCAGCAGUCGGGAAUAUUGCACAAUGGGCGGACGCCUGAUGCAGAAACGCCGCGUGCGUGAUGCCGGCCUUCGGGUUGUAAACCGCUUUCGCCUGUGCCGAAGCGUGAGUGACGGUAAUGGGUAAAGAAGCACCGGCUAACUACGUG